rnacentral:rRNA from 1 species
AUGAGUCGCCAUCGAAGCUUGGCCCGGCAAUUUUGCGAAGAUUCCUCCUCCGAAGAUGAGGAACUCGUGAUGGUAGCAGAGGAAGAACAAGCCCGGGUGGAUGCUCCACGACAUGGAGGUUCACAACCGGGACGUCAAUCUCUUCAGCACGAUUUUGCGGAACGCUUUCAAAGCCUCCACAAGAACUAUUUUGCACAAUAUUGUACCUUCAAGGCAAGGAUGUUUCGCAAUAGGUAUGAAACUGGUGCAUCUGUUUCAUUUUCACCAUAG